rnacentral:rRNA from 1 species
UGCAGUCGAGCGGAUGAGAGAGCUUGCUCUCUGAUUCAGCGGCGGACGGGUGAGUAAUGCCUAGGAAUCUGCCUGGUAGUGGGGGACAACGUUUCGAAAGGAACGCUAAUACCGCAUACGUCCUACGGGAGAAAGCAGGGGACCUUCGGGCCUUGCGCUAUCAGAUGAGCCUAGGUCGGAUUAGCUAGUUGGUGAGGUAAUGGCUCACCAAGGCGACGAUCCGUAACUGGUCUGAGAGGAUGAUCAGUCACACUGGAACUGAGACACGGUCCAGACUCCUACGGGAGGCAGCAGUGGGGAAUAUUGGACAAUGGGCGAAAGCCUGAUCCAGCCAUGCCGCGUGUGUGAAGAAGGUCUUCGGAUUGUAAAGCACUUUAAGUUGGGAGGAAGGGUUGUAGAUUAAUACUCUGCAAUUUUGACGUUACCGACAGAAUAAGCACCGGCUAACUCUGUGCCAGCAGCCGCGGUAAUACAGAGGGUGCAAGCGUUAAUCGGAAUUACUGGGCGUAAAGCGCGCGUAGGUGGUUCGUUAAGUUGGAUGUGAAAGCCCCGGGCUCAACCUGGGAACUGCAUUCAAAACUGACGAGCUAGAGUAUGGUAGAGGGUGGGUGGAAUUUCCUGUGUAGCGGUGAAAUGCGUAGAUAUAGGAAGGAACACCAGUGGCGAAGCGACCACCUGGACUGAUACUGACACUGAGUGC